UCAUCUCUCAUCUCUCAUUUCUCUCUCAUUUCUGUCAGAUUCAAAGUGUAGUUUCAUACUCUGUUUGGAUGCAAAGGCUCCUCAUCUGUCAUUUGCCUUGGAAGGUGUCAAUAAACAUGUACAACCUAAUGAAGGAGUAACCCGCCAGGGCAGUGUGCAGUCAGAAGAGCUACGUUGUGUCACUGCUGUUAUUCUACAUGGCGAUCGAACUCCAAAACAUAAGGUGAAACUAAAAAGUUACAGAGGAGAAACUAUUAAACAUGAUGUUGAAGUACAAUGGUGGAAAGGAAGAGCUGAGAUCUGAGACAAAACUAAAAAGUGCCUUCCAGUUAUUGAGAUCUAUUAGAUGCCACAACAAUGUUAGUUACCCGUACAAGGUUUUGUUUGGUUCAGCAAGGACACUUCCAUGUUGGAUGGUCUUGAUACUGCCAGCGUUGAAAUGGAAGCGGCCAAGGCUAGAUUUGAGAUUGUAACGUGUGGCAAAAAGAUGAUCAAUGAGCAUGGGCUCCUCUCACUUGGAUGACUGAUGGAGCUGGAGUUCCUCCCAAUGCUCAUCAACUCCUCCGUGAAUUUGGUACGACUGUUGCAUAAUUCCCAUCUAGCUCUAAAAGGAUUAGAUGAAACUCUUCAGAGUUGCAAAGGUUCAACCGACUCUACUUUCUCUUCUUCUUUUUUUGGAACUCAAAACUACAAACUGUACUUUCUCGUUUCCCUUUUUCACUUAGAAAAGUUUGUUAUGACUAAGAUAUAUGUGUUAUGUAAUUGCAGUUAGAUAGGUUUUGGUGGUGAUGAUCGAAUUUGGAAAAUAGGUUUAGGUGGCUUUGUACUUGGAUUAUUAAAAUAGCUAGGAAUGGUAAU